rnacentral:rRNA from 1 species
CAAACGCAAUAAGCACUCCACCUGGGGAGUACGACCGCAAGGUUGAAACUCAAAGGAAUUGACGGGGGCCCGCACAAGCGGUGGAGCAUGUGGUUUAAUUCGAAGCAACGCGAAGAACCUUACCAAGGCUUGACAUCCCGAUGACCGCUGUAGAGAUACAGCUUCUCUUCGGAGCAACGGUGACAGGUGGUGCAUGGUUGUCGUCAGCUCGUGUCGUGAGAUGUUGGGUUAAGUCCCGCAACGAGCGCAACCCUUAUCCUUAGUAGCCAUCAUUGAGUUGGGCACUCUAGGGAGACUGCCGUGGAUAACACGGAGGAAGGUGGGGAUGACGUCAAAUCAUCAUGCCCCUUAUGUCUUGGGCUACACACGUGCUACAAUGGCUGGUAACAAAGUGAAGCGAGACGGCGACGUUAAGCAAAUCACAAAAACCCAGUCCCAGUUCGGAUUGUAGUCUGCAACUCGACUACAUGAAGCUGGAAUCGCUAGUAAUCGCGAAUCAGAAUGUCGCGGUGAAUACGUUCCCGGGCCUUGCACUCACCGCCCGUC